UACAGAGGUCUCAAACGUUGUUCGGAUUCAUUGGGCGUAAAGGGUGUGUAGGUGGCGCGCUAAGUCGGGUGUGAAAUUUCGGAGCUUAACUCCGAAACUGCAUUCGAUACUGGCGUGCUUGAGGACUGGAGAGGAGACUGGAAUUCUUGGUGUAGCAGUGAAAUGCGUAGAUAUCGUAAGGAAGACCAGUGGCGAAGGCGAGUCUCUGGACAGUUACUGACGCUGAGGCACGAAGGCCAGGGGAGCAAACGGG
rnacentral:rRNA from 1 species